GGGGAAGCAAGCGGAUCCCCUUCGGGGGUGAAGCUUGUGGAACGAGCGGCGGACGGGUGAGUAACACGUGGGCAACCUGCCUGUAAGACUGGGAUAACCCCGGGAAACCGGGGCUAAUACCGGAUAAUACUGGACUCCACAUGGAGUCGAGUUGAAAGAUGGCUUCUCGCUAUCACUUACAGAUGGGCCCGCGGCGCAUUAGCUAGUUGGUGAGGUAACGGCUCACCAAGGCGACGAUGCGUAGCCGACCUGAGAGGGUGAUCGGCCACACUGGGACUGAGACACGGCCCAGACUCCUACGGGAGGCAGCAGUAGGGAAUCUUCCGCAAUGGACGAAAGUCUGACGGAGCAACGCCGCGUGAACGAUGAAGGUCUUCGGAUCGUAAAGUUCUGUUGUCAGGGAAGAACAAGUACCGUGCGAAUAGAGCGGUACCUUGACGGUACCUGACGAGGAAGCCCCGGCUAACUACGUGCCAGCAGCCGCGGUAAUACGUAGGGGGCAAGCGUUGUCCGGAAUUAUUGGGCGUAAAGCGCGCGCAGGCGGUUCCUUAAGUCUGAUGUGAAAGCCCACGGCUCAACCGUGGAGGGUCAUUGGAAACUGGGGAACUUGAGUACAGAAGAGGAGAGUGGAAUUCCACGUGUAGCGGUGAAAUGCGUAGAUAUGUGGAGGAACACCAGUGGCGA
rnacentral:rRNA from 1 species